rnacentral:rRNA from 1 species
CCUACGGGAGGCAGCAGUGGGGAAUAUUGGGCAAUGGGCGCAAGCCUGACCCAGCAACGCCGCGUGAAGGAAGAAGGCUCUCGGGUUGUAAACUUCUUUUCUGCGGGACGAAGAAAGUGACGGUACCUCAGGAAUAAGCCACGGCUAACUACGUGCCAGCAGCCGCGGUAAUACGUAGGUGGCAAGCGUUAUCCGGAUUUAUUGGGUGUAAAGGGCGUGUAGGCGGGAAAGCAAGUCAGAUGUGAAAACUCAGGGCUCAAACCUGAGCCUGCAUUUGAAACUGUUUUUCUUGAGUGCUGGAGAGGCAAUCGGAAUUCCGGGUGUAGCGGUGAAAUGCGUAGAUAGACGGAGGAACACCAGUGGCGAAGGCAGAUUGCUGGACAGUAACUGACGCUGAGGCGCGAAAGCGUGGGGAGCAAACAGGAUUAGAUACCCUAGUAGUC